rnacentral:rRNA from 1 species
CCUACGGGGGGCAGCAGUCGUGAAUCUUCCGCAAUGGGCGAAAGCCUGACGGAGCGACACCGCGUGUAGGAUGAAGGCCUUCGGGUUGUAAACUACUGUCACGUUCUAGGAACUGCUCGGCGUGAACAGCGCCGAGCUCGACCAAGACGGGAGGAAGCACCGGCUAACUCUGUGCCAGCAGCCGCGGUAAGACAGAGGGUGCAAACGUUGUUCGGAAUUACUGGGCAUAAAGCGCACGUAGGUGGUCCGCUAAGUCGCGUGUGAAAUCCCCCGGC